UAACUGCGAAGAGGCAUGGUUGCGACCAA
rnacentral:sRNA from 1 species